GAUGAAGAACGUAGCGAAAUGCGAUAAGUAAUGUGAAUUGCAGAAUUCAGUGAAUCAUCGAAUCUUUGAACGCAUAUUGCGCCCUCUGGUAUUCCGGAGGGCAUGCCUGUUCGAGCGUUAUAUAAAUACUCUCAAGUUAUAUAUUAACUUGGUAUUGGGUUUUUUUUUUUUUUUUAAAAAAAAAGGCUUGAAAAUUAGUGGCGAUACUUAAAGGCAUUUUAAAACGUAUUAAAAAAUUUUUUUUUUCCUCGUCUUGAUGCUUAAAAAUUUUGUAUCUGCCAAAAAAAACCCCUCCAUUUUUUAGUGUUAACCUCGAAUCAGGUAGGAGUACCCGCUGAACUUAAGCAUAUCAAUAAGCGGAGGA
rnacentral:misc_RNA from 1 species